GGCCUGAUAGCACAAUUGGAUAGUGCGUCUGCAACACAUACACGGCUUCCGCCAUUAAUAUGCAGAACAUCUCUGUUCAAUUCAGGGUCAGGCCA